rnacentral:rRNA from 1 species
GGCGAAAGCCUGAUGCAGCAACGCCGCGUGAGCGAUGAAGGUCUUCGGAUCGUAAAGCUCUGUCCUCAAGGAAGAAUAUUGACGGUACUUGAGGAGGAAGCCCCGGCUAACUACGUGCCAGCAGCCGCGGUAAUACGUAGGGGGCUAGCGUUAUCCGGAAUUACUGGGCGUAAAGGGUGCGUAGGCGGUCUUGCAAGUCAGAGGUGAAAGGCUACGGCUCAACCGUAGUAAGCCUUUGAAACUGUAGGACUUGAGUGCAGGAGAGGAAAGUGGAAUUCCCAGUGUAGCGGUGAAAUGCGUAGAUAUUGGGAGGAACACCAGUUGCGAAGGCGGCUUUCUGGACUGUAACUGACGCUGAGGCACGAAAGCGUGGGGAGCGAACAGGAUUAGAUACCCUGGUAGUCCACGCCGUAAACGAUGAGUACUAGGUGUCGGGGGUUACCCCCCUCGGUGCCGCAGCUAACGCAUUAAGUACUCCGCCUGGGAAGUA